rnacentral:tRNA from 1 species
AGUUAUAUAUUCAAGAAUGAUUCUAAAUUGCAAGUUUAGAGGGAGUGGUCACACUUGUAACUU